rnacentral:rRNA from 1 species
AGAGGGUGCGAACGUUGCUCGGAUUUACUGGGCGUAAAGCGCGUGUAGGCGGACUCGCAAGUCGGUUGUGAAAUCCCUGGGCUCAACCUAGGAACUGCAUCCGAAACUGCUUGUCUUGAGUAAUGGAGAGGGUGGCGGAAUUCCCGGUGUAGAGGUGAAAUUCGUAGAUAUCGGGAGGAACAUCAGUGGCGAAGGCGGCCACCUGGACAUUCACUGACGCUGAGACGCGAAAGCGUGGGGGAGCAAACAGGAUUAGAUACCCUGGUAGUCCACGCCGUAAACGAUGAGCACUAGGUGCAGCGGAUAUUGACCUCGGCUGUGCCGUAGCUAACGCGUUAAGUGCUCCGCCUGGGGAGUACGGCCGCAAGGCUA